rnacentral:rRNA from 1 species
AGGACGAACGCUGGCGGCGUGCUUAACACAUGCAAGUCAAGGGGGCCCGCAAGGGCAACCGGCGAACGGGUGCGUAACACGUGAGCAACCUGCCGAAUGCGUGGGGGAUAGCCGGCCCAACGGCCGGGUAAUACCGCAUACGUUCCCUUGGGGGAGUCCCUGGGGGAGGAAAGCUGUGGCGUAAGCCAUGGCGCGCGUCGAGGGGCUCGCGGCUUAUCAGCUAGUUGGCGGGGUAACGCCCACCAAGGCGACGACGAGUAGCUGGUCUGAGAGGAUGGCCAGCCACAUUGGGACUGAGAGACGGCCCAGACUCCUACGGGAGGCAGCAGUGGGGAAUCUUGCGCAAUGGCCGAAAGGCUGACGCAGCGACGCCGCGGUGGGGAUGACGCAUUCGGUGUCGUAAACCCUGUCGCCCGGACGAACACCGUUCCGUUUGGGAGGCUGACGGUACCGGUGAGGAGCGACCGGCUAACGUCCG